AACGAACGCUGGCGGCAGGCUUAAUACAUGCAAGUCGAGGGGCAGCAGGACUGUAGCAAUACAGUUGCUGGCGACCGGCAAACGGGUGCGGAACACGUACGCAACCUUCCUUUAAGUGAGGGAUAGCCCAGGGAAACUUGGAUUAAUACCUCGUAAUAUUUGAGAGUGGCAUCACUUUUUAAUUAUAGCUCCGGCGCUUAAAGAUGGGCGUGCGACUGAUUAGGUAGUUGGCGGGGUAACGGCCCACCAAGCCUGCGAUCAGUAACUGGUGUGAGGGCACGACCAGUCACACGGGCACUGAGACACGGGACCGACUCCUACGGGAGGCAGCAGUAAGGAAUAUUGGUCAAUGGACGCAAGUCUGAACCAGCCAUGCCACGUGGAGGAUGAAGGUCCUCUGGAUUGUAAACUUCUUUUAUCUGGGAAGAAACCCAUAUUUUCUAGUGUGGUUGACGGUACCAGAUGAAUAAGCACCGGCUAACUCCGUGCCAGCCGCCGCCGUAAAAC
rnacentral:rRNA from 1 species